GGUAACAGCUCAGAGGUAGAGUGCAUGCUUAGCAUGCAUGAGGUCCUAGGUUCAAUCCCCAGGGUCUCCA
rnacentral:tRNA from 1 species